AAAACACUUUCCUUCUGGAAUUCUCUUAUUUCUUCCUGAAAUACACUGCUUUGAAAUUCAUGAGUGAUUGUCUGCUGAUUGCAAACUCUGGGUUUUGUUCCUCUGAAAAUAUCUUUCUAUCUCCUUAUCAAAAAUAUUUUUGUGAGUUUACCAUUCAAGUUCUCAAGUUCCGCAGUUAUUUUCUCCCAGGGCUUUGAAGAUCUUAUCCAACUGUCUUCCAGCUUCCAGGGCUGCUGAGGAAUCGCCUGUUGGGUGGAGUCCCCGCCCUCUGUGCAGGGGCCGCUCUUUCUCUGCAGCUGUUGACUUGGUGAUUUGCAUUUUCACCAGGAGGUGUUUAGAUGUGUGUGUUUAGGGAGUCAGGGAGGCUUUCGGGGCACAGCGCCCAUGCCUGUCUCAGACACCAUCCUGUGAGCCCUCUAUUCCCCAGUAAACACCUGCUCACCAUCGCUCCUUCUCCUUUUCCUCCUGCGACUCUCGGGGACACACUAGGCUUCCUCAGUCCUUCGAGUUUCUUAACGUUUUUCAUUCACAUUUUUGGUCUUUUUGUCCUGCCUCAACGGGAAAUUUCGACGACACCACUUUCCAUUUUCUUGAGUUGUGUCUGACUGGCAGUUGGUUUUAAAUUCCACCCAUCUGUGUUCUUUCACGAUGCUCCUUUUUAAUCCUGAGAGUCCUUGUUCCGCCACCACAUUCCCCCUGGCUCUCCCCUGGACUCAGCUCUGCUGUGUGAAUUCUGUCUCCCCUGGACUCUGCUCUGCUGUGUGAAUUCCGAGCUGGAGCCUCCCAGUCCCGCCAGGCCUCCACCCUGCAUUUCUCCGCUUCCCUUGACUCACAGGCGAGGAUUGUUGACAAACACAUUGCUGAUGAUGGGAGAAGAUGGAUGUAACCCGGGGGGUCCUACAGCGGGGAGCUGGUUAAGGAAUCCACCGACCUCAGCUGCAGAGCGCCCCUUCCAGACUCGCCGUCGCCUUUCGAUAGAGGGUGCCACCGGAUGGAGACAACACGGAAGGAGAGACAAGCCUUACAGAGACAACGUCCAGCGCCAGGCAGGACGCCGGAGGAAAGAGCCUGUAGGUGGUGCUGGUGGGAGAAGGAAAUGGUACAAGCGCGGCGGAAAACCUGUGGCAGUUACCCAGUGACAUUGACACACGUGCUCUCCGAUUCCGCCAAAUCACGGGGAGCACAGCCCACAGAAAGGCCUGCACACCCCUGAAAGAUGCUCACAGGGACGCCACGGCCCUGCUCCUCCUCACGAGGGGAGAGGGAAAUGGCUGUAAUACCCAUCUAUGGUAGAAAAGAUCGAUAACUUGGAAACGGGUAAAUAUUCAGGAUGAAAUGUUAUCCCGUAACCCACAUGAACCCUCUGUAAUUCCUCUCAACAGUGCGGAUGAACCUCGCAAAGAAAAUGUGCGAAAGGAACUAACUAGAAAAUACAAAGCACUGUACGAUUCUAUUUAUAUAAUGUGCAAAAACGAAUGCGCUGAUAAAAGCUAAGAUUGUAGUUAUCUCUGGGCAUGGGCAGAGGACAGGAAGGACUUCUGGACGCGGUAAUGUUCUCUUUAUUAAUCUGGUGACACGCGCGUCCCGCUGAGUGAAAGUUCACUGAGCUGUACCUUGCAUGCACCAUUUUGUGAAUAUGUCAGACAUACAUCAUUAGUAAUUGACUUGGAGAAAUAAUAAAAGGAUCUGCAAGGAUACAGCCAGAGAAAUACAAAUCCAACGAGUAAGAAGUAAAAAUUAUUGUUAGACAAUGUAGAGUUUAAGGUUAAAAUAAUUACAUUGAAUAGAGUGGCUGAUUGUAUAUCAAUAAAACAUCAACCUGGUGAAUGUGGCGAAAAA